CAGAUUCUCCUGCUGCUGGAAAAGCAAAAUGAUUGUUCUGAAAGAUGCAGUGACUUCUGUUGCAGUUCAUUGAAGAUUACUGCUACAGAAAGCUACAGAACAGGAUUUAAACAAAGGAUGCAGAGAUAAGAAACUGUGUGAAGAUGCUGUGGACCCAGAGAAUUUUGACUCAGGCCAUACAAUGGUGAGAUGGAACAGAAGAGGUGGUUCGUCUGCACCUUCCUUUUAUACUGUCAUUGCUGAGCAUGAGGAUCUCCAGGGCACAGGCGCAGACCAAUGAACACUACUUGCAAGUCUUUCCAGUCUCAAGUGCAUGGUUAUUAGUACAAGCUCCUAAUUUGAUCCUGUUGAAACAACAGCUGAACGGAUGUAAGGAUAUCUCCAAUUUUCAUUCUGUGGUACAUCUAAGGGAAGAAUCUGGGAAGUAGAAACCAGCCUGUGGAUGUAUGUGUCAGUUAAAAGAGAGAAUAUAUUUUAUGCUCUCUCGAUUCCAAUUAUAAAGAUAACUAUGGUAAUUCCACAGCAGUCUUGUCCAGGGAUGACAUUUUUUUGCACAUGCAAGAUUCAAUAUGUCUUUGCAGUAGAAUAUACUUUUCCAAAAAAGUGAAAUGUCAUUCAUGCAUAACACUGAAUUAGAAUUGUUGGUGUCUGUUAAUUCUACUUUAAGAUAUGCUUAGUAAGAAAAAUAGAUAAGCAGCUAUGUAAUAGAAAAUUAUGAUGUAUCAAUGAGAAUUCUA